AACGAACGCUGGCGGCGUGCCUAAGACAUGCAAGUCGUGCGAGAAAGCUCCUUCGGGAGUGAGUACAGCGGCAUACGGGUGAGUAACGCGUGGGUAACCUACCUCGAGGUCUGGGAUAACCCGGGGAAACCUGAGCUAAUACCGGAUGAGCCCACGAGGUCUUCGGACCAUGUGGGAAACGGUGGCCUCUGCUUGCAAGCUACCCG
rnacentral:rRNA from 1 species